rnacentral:tRNA from 1 species
CGGGGCGUGGCUCAGUUUGGCUAGAGCGCCUGCUUUGGGAGCAGGAGGUUACAGGUUCAAGUCCUGUCGCCCCGACCA